GGGUCUAAUACUGGAUACGACCGAUCUCCGCAUGGAGUGUUGGUGGAAAGUUUUUGUGGUGGGGGAUGGACUCGCGGCCUAUCAGCUUGUUGGUGGGGUAAUGGCCUACCAAGGCGACGACGGGUAGCCGGCCUGAGAGGGCGACCGGCCACACUGGGACUGAGACACGGCCCAGACUCCUACGGGAGGCAGCAGUGGGGAAUAUUGCACAAUGGGCGAAAGCCUGAUGCAGCGACGCCGCGUGAGGGAUGACGGCCUUCGGGUUGUAAACCUCUUUCACCAGGGACGAAGCUAACGUGACGGUACCUGGAGAAGAAGCACCGGCUAACUACGUGCCAGCAGCCGCGGUAAUACGUAGGGUGCGAGCGUUGUCCGGGAAUUAUUGGGCGUAAAGAGCUUGUAGGCGGUCUGUCGCGUCUGCUGUGAAAGACCCGGGGCUUAACUCCGGUUCUGCAGUGGGUACGGGCAGACUAGAGUGUGGUAGGGGAGACUGGAAUUCCUGGUGUAGCGGUGAAAUGCGCAGAUAUCAGGAGGAACACCGAUGGCGAAGGCAGGUCUCUGGGCCAUUACUGACGCUGAGAAGCGAAAGCAUGGGGAGCGAACAGGAUUAGAUACCCUGGUAGUCCAUGCCGUAAACGUUGGGCGCUAGGUGUGGGACUCAUUCCACGAGUUCCGUGCCGCAGCUAACGCAUUAAGCGCCCCGCCUGGGGAGUACGGCCGCAAGGCUAAAACUCAAAGGAAUUGACGGGGGCCCGCACAAGCGGCGGAGCAUGCGGAUUAAUUCGAUGCAACGCGAAGAACCUUACCAAGGCUUGACAUACACCGGAAUCAUGCAGAGAUGUGUGCGUCUUCGGACUGGUGUACAGGUGGUGCAUGGUUGUCGUCAGCUCGUGUCGUGAGAUGUUGGGUUAAGUCCCGCAACGAGCGCAACCCUCGUUCCAUGUUGCCAGCACUUCGGGUGGGGACUCAUGGGAGACUGCCGGGGUCAACUCGGAGGAAGGUGGGGAUGACGUCAAAUCAUCAUGCCCCUUAUGUCUUGGGCUUCACGCAUGCUACAAUGGCCGGUACAGAGGGUUGCGAAACCGUGAGGUGGAGCUAAUCCCAAAAAACCGGUCUCAGUUCGGAUUG
rnacentral:rRNA from 1 species